CCGUGUUUCUUUUCGGACCGGUGACACAGCUUCGAGUCUGAAUAUUUAUUAUUUACAGUUCUGGAAAGAGGUGCAUGAGACGUCCCAAUGAGCCCCGGUUAUGGAAUUGGAAACCAUCAUUUCCGUAGGCGUACAGGUACAUAUAUGAAGCCAGCAACGAUCUGAAGCCCAGCAGGAGAAAAACAACGUGUAAAGACACCAUGGAUAAUCACAAGGGUAACCAACCAGUUUUUCUAGUGCUCCUGAGGCGCCGGCAUCCCUCUCUUCAGAUCUGUCCUCCGUGCCCUGUCGGGUCACGUAGCGGUGCAGGAGAAUUAACCUCUGACUUUUUCUUACGCAGUCUUUUGUGGCUUCAUCAUCUUUCUUCAGAUCGCCGACUUAUCGUGGGAGUCCGCCUACAAUUUCAGCCUCUGUAACCACGACGAGAUACGAGAGGAUCUCCUAAACGUUUUGGAUGCGCACAUGACCUUAAAAGAGGUUGGUUGUUUCUCUGGUGGCAUCGGAGGGAAACUCGGGACGGCACUGCCUCCACGAUUUUAUCCUUGACCGCCGGCAGCUACUUUCCGAAAAUCUCGAUUAGCAAACCGGGAGUUGGCUAGUGUAGUAAGCCGGUGCAUGUGAACAGGACGGGGAAAUUAUCUCCUACUCUCCUCCUCCGGCGACCUCCCUAAAGUGUGCUCUGAAGCUGGGACUGGCAGGGACGGAGAGCAGGAGCCCGGGCGGCUGCUGCCAGAGCGCUACCUGACCCUACCCGGCGCCUUGCAGACCCCUAGGACUGAAAAGCCGCUUGUGUAAUACCGAGCCGACGGCGAAGACGGUUUCCCGGUCGCAAAGGAGCUACAGCUCGAUUUUCACACCUGCGAGGACGCGCCCGAGGGGCCGGAGCAGUCCGAGGUUCGCCAGGGUGAACGCAGCCCCCCGACGGCUAGGUGGCAUUCCCUUUCCGUGGAAAAAAAAAAAAAAAAAAAAAAAAAAGGCGAAAGCACACC